UGGCUGGGCCGGCGGCGGCGGCGGUACGAGGCGCGCGCUCGGGGUCCCGGUCGCGAGGAGGAGGAGGAUGUGGCGCGCGGAGGGGAAAUGGCUGCCGAAAACAAGCCGGAAGAGCGUUUCCCAAAGUGUAUUCUGCGGAACUAGCACCUACUGUGUUCUCAACACCGUGCCACCUAUAGAAGAUGAUCAUGGGAACAGCAAUAGUAGUCAUGUAAAAAUCUUUUUACCGAAAAAGCUGCUUGAGUGUCUGCCGAAGUGUUCAAGUUUACCAAAAGAGAGGCACCGAUGGAACACUAAUGAGAGAUCAUGACGCAGCCGUCCUUUUGGAUUUCUUUUUAAUAAUGUGUGACCCUUCACCUUUGAUCCCCUGACCUGCAUUACCUUGGGUUGUUGGGAGGAUAAAUGAAACACACUGGGAACUCAGAAGAAAGGUGCUUUUGAAACUGAACCUCAUCCUAUGGCUGUGCCAAGAGGCAGUGGUAGUGAACCCGUGGUGAAGGGCCAGGACCAUGGUUCGAAUCCACCCCGGCCUCUUGCAAGUGUUCUGACUGCAACACAUUACCUACCCUCCUUGUGCCUGAGUUUCCUCCUCUUUAAGUUGGGGAUGAUAAUAACACCUACCCAAAGGAUCAUGCAGAAAAAUAAAACCCAGUGCUGGUGACAAAUAAGCAACAAAUUCAUCUCUUCAUUCUUCAUGAAGAUUGAAACCAGUUAAUCAGGACCAUGAAGAGAGAGCUACAAAUUCAUCCAUUUUCAGAGACUUAUUUGAAGACCAUGCAGCAACAACUUUGUUGUCUUUCUUAUAUUCAAAAUCUGCAAACUCCCUUCCUCCACGGCCUCCUAUGAAUCUACCACAGAAUCCCUGAGGAGUAGUAAAGGUGCCACCUCUGCCUCUACCCUCUACAGCCAUGGUUUGGAGGAAGUGAAAUUUCAAGUGUUUCAGCAUUUACACUUGAUCUUAGCCAAAAGGCCAAGAAGAGAUAAGUGUUUCAGCAUUUAAUUGUCUUGCUUCAGCCCAGGGUGGUCUCUGGCCUUUAUUAUCAUCACAAGAAAUAUUAUCAAAGAAGGAUUUCGUUUUUUCACGAAGGCAGUUGGGUCCAAGUGGGAUCCUCUUCGUCAGCAUUUCCUUCACUGUUUUGGGUCUCAAUGCCAGAGUCUCCCUUCACCAUUUAUAGGCUUCUCUUGUUUCUCAAGUUUAUCUUAUUUUAAUUUAAGCUUGUUAUGAAACUCUGUCAGUCUCCUCCUUGUUAAAUUGUACACUUGCGCUUUGAAAGUCAAAGUCUUUCUCGAAUUUCAUUGGAUCCAUCUUGAUGAAUACCAAAUCUUCCCUGGGCAUCCUGAUGACCUCCAGAUCCUCUUCUUGGAGCUGAAGAAGCAUCUGAAACUACUUGUCUUUUGCUGUCAUUUCUGAGUUGCUCAUUUUCUGGCCUUGAAACUUUGUGUACUUCAGCGGGCCUUUGCUCUUGGUUCUCCGUUGCUUUUUGGCUGGUAGAUGGCAAAGGCUUGGUUGAUACAGGGCUCCUCCUCCCAGCAAGUGCUGGAGCAGGGAAGUGAGCUGAGGCAAUCUGUGUUGUUUGUUCCAUGGACUUCUUAAAGUGUCAGGGCUGGAGCGACCUUGAGAUAACUGUUUUUAUAGAUCUUGUAUCCUGUGUAAAGGCAGAACCAGCUGCACUUCUUUGGGAUAAGGUGCCGCUGUCUGACAUUUCUGUUCCAAAGGAUGCCAGGGAGUUCCAGCAAUACCAACAGCACCAAACUGCUGCUCAGCUAAUGAACUUGGACUGAACAGGCUGUAGGUCAGCACCCUGCCACAAGGUUCAUAGGAACCAGCUGACUGGAAUGAAGAAGUAGAUGAACCUAGUGAAGACUGAACAAUAGCUGGGAGCUGAGGCAAAGAAUGUUGUGACUUCGGUGGCUCACAAACUGAGGUUGUAAAUGUCACUCCCACGGAAUAUAAUGUAUUCAAAGACUUCAUUUUGAGGCCGUAUUGGACCAUUUGUUUGUCUUCUGUACCAAAACAUUGAACUCUGGCAAGGGCUACAGUGGAGUUCUUGGUGGUGGUGGUGUAGAGGAUGCCCUCUUAGCAGAUCUCUGCCUUGGAAAUGAGGUUGAUGUUGCUGCCCAUGUAAGAGUGCCCUGCUCAUAGCACUGCUGCCACACUGGGCCACUCGGGCAGAUCCUAUGCUGCUGUCACCUCAGAUCCAUCAGGGCAGUGGUGCUGGUGCUGGUACCGGAACCACUCCCUCCCUCAGCUUUCUUCUCUGAUCGCAGUGUGGCAGUGGCAGCUAACAGUUUUAAAAGGUUGAAAAAAGCCCCAAUAUUUUAUGCCAUGUGAAGAUUAUAUGAAAUUCAAAAUCCGGCAUCUACUGGAGAGAACCACAUUCUUCCUUCAUGCCCUGAGGGACCUUGCCACACGUGUUCACCUGAAUACCCUUGAAGGCUGCCUUUGAGCUGCCACAGCUGUGUUGAGCCUUGUGACAGGGGCCACAUGGUCCUUACAGAAAAAGUUGCUGCUCCCUGGCUCAGGAGAGUAGGGUGGGGGCCACUGCAAGAGCCCAUGGAGGCUUGGGCCAAGGCAGUUGCAGGGCACGUAUCAGAGCAAGGGCUGAGGUAGGUUGUGUUCACAUGGGAGAGCUGGGGAGGAUGUUGCUGUCAGGCACAGACUGCCUGGAAGAAUGCAGUAUUCCCUUUUUGUGUUUGGGUGGACCUAGGGAGUGGGGUGUUGGGGAGCAGGGCAAGGGGAAUGCUGGAGCUGUGUUUCACACUGCUUGGCUUUAACACAUUCAUGAUGGAGCCGUAAUUCAUAUGUCUCACUGCUGGGCAGCUCUGAGCCACUGGUGGCACAUGCAUACCUGUCCCAUCCAGUGGCAUGUGACAGGCCCAUUGGUUGGUACAAGCUGCCAGAUGGGACAGUCAUGGAUGUGCCACCAGUGGUUCAAGCCAGCGGGAAUGUGUUGAGAUGCCAAGUGGAGGUGUUGGGUGGGCAGCAGUGAGCAUCUUACUCUGAAGAGAGGCCUAGGCUGGAUGUUGCUGAACAUUGUAGGAGAGAAAUCCUGGAGGGAGGGCAGGGAAGUCCAAAUAUGGAGCCCUGGAGCAGCACCCAGCAGUAGGGGAAGGAAGCAGAGAAGAGUGAGGAGGAGCAACUAGAGAAGGCAAACCAGGUGACAGGGUCCUGAGGACAGAGUUGGUGGCUGUGCCAGCUGCUACCAAAGGUCAAGCUAGAUGCCUGCUGAAGAUUCGCUGUGGUUUGGCAGUGUGGAAGUUACUCAUGAUUCUGGUAAGAGCUGUGUGAGUAAAAUGGUGAGAAGAAGAAGCCUGAUGGCAGGUGGGUUAAAUAAAACAGGAGGACUGGAAGUGGAGCUGGUGUUUGGGAAGAUACCUUUUCCCUGCAGCCUAAGUGCAGGCCAGGAGAGGGCAGGAGUGGGAUUUGACCCAGGGUUAGGAUUUUGUCAGGUGAGUUCUCUGGAGGGAGGAGGGAUAAGGGAGCUGAAUGCUCUGUGGGUGAGUUGGUGUGAUGACGGACCGCAUAAUCUGAGCCAGGCAAGAGGGAGGCGAGGGGCAGCAGGAGGUCACAGUGUCAGUGGAUUUAAGGAGUGGGGUCGGGGACUGUUGGAGCUGGAUAGUGAGGGGGAGGAGUGCUAGGCAUGGACAUUGUGAGGGGUGUGAUUAUGGCUACACCUAGAGUGAACCUUUCAGCGCUUUCAGUGAUAGGAACAGCCCACCGUGCCCCGUAUGCCAUAGGUUCGUCACCACCGAUCUAAGUCUAGCGCAGAGCUGUCCAUGGGAGGAGCCAUGUGUAACUUCACAUGUUCCAGUGGCCAUAUCUUUUAAAAGUAAGAAGAAAUGCAGUGAAUUUCAGUCAUAUCAGUCAUAUAUUUUACUGUAUUUAGCCCAGUAUAUCUAGAAUCUGUGAACAUGAAAUCUGUGUAGUAGUUAUUGUGAUACGCUACAAUUUUGUACAGUUGAAAUCAGUAUUUUUUACACUUUCGUGCACCUUCCUUGCCCGGAUACAGUUCAGGCUUGUGGCAGCCUUGCUGGACAGCGUAGAGCUUUGUGAGUGGCUGUGGAAGUAAUGUACCCAGCUUACUAGGGGAGGAGUCGAGGAGCAGAGAGGCCUGGUUGGUGAAGGGCUCUGCCUGGAGUGGGGCUGGGAGGCAGGAGGGUGGCCAUGGAUAACCUGCCACUCCCGGGCAAGGCUUAGAGUCCCUGUGGACUCUGAGGGCUGCCCUGGCCUCAUUGUAAGUCCGAGUGAUGCCUCCUGGAGUUAUGGGUUUGGGGCAGGAUUUCUGAGUCACAGCAAAAUAUUAGAAACGCAGGCUGUAAUUUUGACAGGAUCUCCCAAAACUAGCAGUUUCCAUUUGGGCUUUUACUUCUAUCCAGAAGGCCUUUCAUUGAGUCACCAAUGAAGAAGAUAUUACCCACGUGAGCAACUUGUUCAGCCACCUUUUUUCCAGGAAAAAAAAAAUCUUUUAGAUUCUCACCUGUAUUUUGACAUAUCUUAAGAUGCCGAUCUUUAUUUUGGCAUCAUCCUCAAAUCCCUCAAAGUCUGUUAAUAAUGCUUAUUAGCUCAGUCAUCUUCAAGAUGUUUGAAUCCCCACAGAGGCCAGUAUUAGAAGCUUUGAGGCUGUUGUGUCCCGCAUGAUGCAGGAGGCGGCAUGCAGACCCUGCCUGCCCACAUCCUUUUGACAGGCAGAUCUGGUCAGCACUUUUCCUUGCAGAGUUUACAGUGUGCGAUAUAUGUAUAUAUAUGUAGGCUUUAGGCCACACUGAGUCCUUAAAGUGUCGAUGGAGUUGGGGGUGUGGCCUCGUGGUAAAGUGCUAGCCUAAAAACUAUUGUGAGGGCCUGGGUUCUGUCUCUGCAGUGCAAAACAAAAGAACAGAACCACACACAAAGUGGAUCAUGACAUCAGGAAGCUAUUGUGUAGCCUUGUAGGCCAGAAAAAGUAAAAUAAUUUGAAAGGAUAAGCAGGAAUACCUGUGCAGGUCACUUGUUACUACUUCUCAUGCCCCUCCCCCAAGUGAUUCCAUACCUUUUUCACUUUUAAAUGUACUUUGGGUUUCCUUUGAUUUCUUGCAAUAUUAAGAUUAGUCCAAAAGGAAGAGGAAAUAAGAAGAGGAGCCUACUUUGGGCAAUAUGUUUGUGAACUUGUGUUCUUGGAUGACUUGUGUGUUGAGGGAGCAAUUCUUGUUCCCACUGUAGCAGCUGACGUCCCAGGAACAAGGACUCUAGGUUAGUUAGCCCAUAGCUUCAGAAAUCUAAGAGCAUUGUGAGAAUCUGCUGGAUCAUGAGCUGCAUUUCUCUUUGUAGACAUGGUGUUGUCCCUCUUGGCACUGUCAUAUUCACAUGAAAGCGCUCGGGAAACAGCAUUCAGUAGUAAUGCAAACUUACUCAGUACGUGAGCUUUCUUAAACUCUCUUUAUUCUAAUUAAAAUGUUGCCACUUGAUGGGGAAAUGUAUGAAUACCAAGAACUGGAAAUUAAGCAAGAAAUUAAAAGAACAUUAAUGGCUUUAUUGUAAUUUGUUUUGAGGUUUUUCUCUCCACUAAAUGGUGGUUUGCUUACAAAGUCACCCCUUCACACAUAAAUCUUUAUGACAAAUGGACUGGGGCAUAUCCCAGCAAAAGAAGAGCUAUUUUAUGAUGCCACUUGUAAAUUAUAACACGCUGUGGAAAAGAACCAAAGUAUUCACUUUUUAAAAGCAUUGUUAGCAUAAUUACUUAAUUGGUGCACACAAAAUUCUAGUUUGUUUGAAAUGACAGUCGUGUCUAAGAUACUAGCAAGGUUGACAUUUGUUCUUUCUUAAUGUAUAUCUUGCUCACUAGAAUGCUCAAAAAAUCCAAAGUAUGACAUUUAAAUUUGUGAUUUAUUUAUUUCUUUAAAAGUCGCCUGCUGAAACUUACUUGACCAUCACAAUCAGCCUGACCUUAGCCAGGGAAGGUGUUCCGUCUGGUCCAGGGUGCAGGGUUCACUAGUGCCCGGUGCUCUGCACUCCUGCAGUUGUGUGUGUGCUCGCCUGGAUGUGCAUCCACCGGAGGAGUCCGGAUUAGCCUGCAGCUCCUGCCUCCAGGUGUGGAGGUGCAGGUCAAAGUAGGGAAGCAGCAAACCCCACAGCCCUCCCUUGUGCCCUGCAUUGUGCUCUAGCCAGCUGCACUGCCCCCCUCGUCUCCCCUUCCCGGAGGUGCAGGUACAUUGUACUGUCUUUUCCCUGCUCUGGCCAGCCCUUCCUCUUUCUGCUGGAUCUGCUGGAUGGACUAGCAGCCUGCCCAGAUGCCUGCACCCUUUCUUGGGCUCUGCCAGCACAGCCUGCCCUUCAGUUCACUCUGCAGGGGCCCUCUCUAUGAUGUGUGGUCGUGGUUUCUUCAGUGGUGUCUUUAACCCGCUAAACUUCUUGGGUGCAGGUGCUGGGCCUCCAUUUUUGUUUCCCCAGAGCCCAGCAUCUGCACAUGUUGAGAGUGAAUGGAUCUGGGUGGUUGGGUGGGGGAUGUAGUAGUGGGGUCACAUACCUUCAAGACAAAAAAGUAAUAACUGUUUUGGAGAAAGAGAAGAAUAAAUACUGUUUUUGUUUAUACAGGUCUUAAAAUUUUGGUUGCAGAAAGCAAAUGUACAGAGAGCAGUGGAAAGCAAGUCAGAAGCUGCUGAUUCCAGAGAUGGUCACAGUUUAUGUAAAAAAAAAAAAAAUGUAAUUUACCCUUGAGCACCUUGAAAUUUUGUUCUGGUAUCUUGAGUAACUAAUUGUUUACUUGAAUAACUAGUAGGGAAAUGGGUCAGGAGUGUAAUGAGGACUUCCUGUGAGAGGCCCGCGGCCCCUCUCACGACAUGGCCUUUUCCGCACCAUGUUCGAAGCUUGUGGAAGUGACCCGUCUCAGCACUGCACGUGAGCCUCAGUGGGCCAGGUCUUUGCUCUGUACUGUAACCCUGGGAUUGAACGGUCAUACUUACAUCCAGCUAGUUUGAGUUUUGUUGGGAAUCAGCCCCAAAUUAGGGAAGUACUUGCAUCUGCUCACUUCCCCAAGUGCUGUAACUUGGCCUGUAAGACUGAAUAAACACAGCGUUCCCUGUUUACCUGAAGUCACUCACUGGACUCUUCACCUGCAGGAGACCCUGAGCCAGGGAGGUGAAUGAGCAGUUUCGAGGCUUUCCUCUGCAUCAGUGUGCCUGUUGGUCCUUCACAGCCAUGUGGAUGUGACCUGUGGGUUGUUAGGAUCUUAAAUUAGUUAGGAAAUGGUAGUUCUUUUACUCAGUGACCUCCAGUGUCCCAUUGGAGUACUGUACAUUGGUAACCUGUGGACCUGACCCUGGAUUUCCAGUUGGCAUUUUUGAGAGUUGAGGACUAGCUUCUUAAGGCUGUGCUUCAUGAACAGUCUCUAGCAGGGAGCCUCUUGAAGCAUUGUGUUCUGUUAUAUCAAUAUGUACUUAGACAUGUUAAUCUGCAUUAGAGAGCUGAUUGUUCAGAAUGACUCCCCUGGGACACUAUGUUAGAAAAAAACAACUGAAUUAGUUUGCUGAAUAUGCACAAUAACUAAAAAGAAAUCUUCUAAAAUUAGUGUUAAUUGAGUCUGGGCCUUGAUCAUCUUUGAACCUUUAAUUUUUAAUUUGAUCCUUUAGAAAAGUUUUGUGGCCUCAUAAAGAUACAACCUCCAGCUCAGCAUGGUGCACACACCUAUAGUCCCAGCACUCUGGGAAGCUGAGGUACAUUGGCUACAAGUUUGAGCCCAGCCCCAGCAGUUUAGUGAGGUCCGGUCUCUAAAUACAGAAGAGCUGGGAAUGCUCCUCUGUGUGAAGGCCCCGGGUUCAUUCCCCUGUACCAUGAAAAACAAAAUAAAACCAGCCUAUAACCCAAUAAGUUAUGCUGUAAUAAUUGCAAAAAGACAUUUGUGCAAGACCCCAUCUUGAGUUAGAGGAAAGUAAAAGAUGUAUGUGGGUGUACAUGUACGUGAUACCUGUGGGGUAGGUGUAUGUGUGUGUGUGUUUAAUGCCCACUCUAGGUUGCCUUGAUUCAGAUUUCUCCUCCUCGCUCUCUGCCUCUCGAAAUGGGGCAAAUUUUCUUCAGUUAAAAACAGAAAUAGAAGUGACGGCCUUGACCCAUUUUACACCUGUUUAUUUAAGGCUCUCACCACACACUUGUUCAUGGGCACAGCAAGAAGAGGGAUCCAGAGAGCUCGAGCCAUGAGGGCUGACACAUUGGGACGAAGCUGGCAGAGCUCAUAGGGAGAGCUUUACCAUCCUGCCAGCUCCAUUCUGGCUUCAAGACAGUCCUGUGACUGCAUUAAUUGUCCUCAGAAGCCCAGGUUAAUUUGAACUGAAUGCUACUAAAAAUGAAAUAGAUUAAAGUGACCUCCACCCCACUUAGCUCUGAAGGACAGCAGUCCCAUGCCACCCGGUCCCUGAGGCCUCUGUGGGACCAUCCCUGACACCAUCCACUUCCCCUUAGCAAGCUUCCCUUUUCUUAUUAGCACUUACUCCUCAGUGACAACCCCUUUCUGUGUUGCUGUGUUGCUCCCAUGAGAAUGGAAGCUCCGUGAGAGCAGGGUCUGUCUUGUCCCAUGUCCCCAGCACGUAGACCAGUGCCUGGCAUGGUGGAGUUUUAAUAAAUGCCGUUGAAUGAA